AGUGCCAGUCCUGCACCCUUGGCCGUCCCUGACGAGCCCACUAUUACUAAUGGUGGAUGGCGUGCCUCUCAAUGGACGGUUGCUUCUCAUGGGGUGGAUUCGUCUCCUCCCCCCUCCUAGCGGCUGCGACGACGAUGACGGUUACACUGAGGCACUAAUGCGGGGCUUUAAAGGAAUAAAAAGGAAAGAGCUGAUGACAGGCUUAGAAAGCAACAGAAGAAGAGACCAAGAUGAAGGAGUCUGAGCUAAUGCGAGGAAACCCGCUGAUCAAUAUGAAUAACUUCUGCUCCUUCGACGUGGAAGUAACAAUGCUGCCUACUAUAUUAUAUUG